CUGACAAUCACCUCACAUCCCUUAGCACCGCUUUCCAUAAUAAAUCUCAACACACCAUAACAGGCCCUGCGAACUGCAAGACCACCAAGAAGCUUGUAGCGAAGAGACUCAGCCUGAGCAAUGGCGCAAAGCCCUCUGUUGUUAACCUUCUCAGCGUAGAGUUCGACGCUGUUCUCUGGGAAUUUAAACCUCUUUUGUACCACUGAGGUCAGUUCCCUGAUCCUCCUCCCCUUCUCACCCAGAACAUUUUGGGUGCGGGUGGCUCUGAUGAUGAUCUCAGUGCGCAUAGGGGUGACCCUAACCUCAACACCAGAGUAUCCAUCCUCGGCAAGCUCUCUGGUCAAGACCUCGUUAAGCUCGGCAUAGAAAACUCCAUCAGCGACGAACUUUCGCUUCUUGCUUAUUUGAGUCGCCAUUUUGUAGUGUCGAUAAUGGAGUUAGUAGGUUACUUGCAGAAGCGAAGAUCUUAGUGCACGGUGGUAGGCGCUCUGCAAACCCUAGCCUGAGGGUUGGAAGACGAAAAAUAGUGAGUUUAUAUGUUAGGAAGGUUUGGAUCGGACGGUGGAUGUUGAUUCUAGGGGAAUUCUAGGGUUUACUUCUCAACGGAUGGGAUUCUUUGAGGGGUUUGCUCAUUCGGCAUUGGGUUGGUAUUUGGAUGAGGUUAAAUUUUGGAUGAGAGCCGACAGGAAUGGCAACGGGCGGGUCGAUAGCAAGAAUGAUCCCCCC
rnacentral:misc_RNA from 1 species